GGCAAGAGUUCCCCCUGGGGAGGAAGUUGUCAAGGCUGUAGAGGAGAUGGCCAGAAAAUCCAGUGAAGCGAAGCAUAGCUGGGGCUUUUCCUCAAAUAGUGGUCAGAGAGAGGCAGUCACCAAUCAGGCUGCCUGCUGGCCCCCACUCCUGGGCGCUCACCCUAUUGGUGCCAGACUUAGUGUGGACACCCAAUCAGCUGCAGCCUGACUGCAGAACUCCCAGACUCAAGCAGCCCACCAGACUCAGCCUCCCCCAGGAACAGGGAAGAUGAGGCGAGUUGUGCUGGCCAAUCUGCAUUGGUGGAGGAUGUUUCCUCACCAGGAGCUCCUUCCCGUGGAUCCAGAGAGGGCAGAGGAGGAAGAAGUUCAUCAGUAAGCAUUCAACUCCACCACGAUGGCAUGGGAUGGGGCAGGACAGAACAGGACGUGUCAGGCAGCAGGACGUGGCCCAUCCAGGAAACAAGCCCCGUGGGGCUCCUCACGCACACUGCGGAACUCAGGAGCCUAGAGCCGGGUGAAGAGAGCCCACCCUGACAAUCACAGACAGGAUCACAGGCUCAUGUCCGGCAGACGAGGGAGGAGAGCAGUGCCCUCCCAUGGCAGAAAGCCAAGAUCUCCCCCCAUUUCCCACGCCCUACCCACUGUCCUGGACUGUCGUGUCAAGAGGCUAAAAAGAAGAGGUCAAGUUCAAGGGCUAGCUCAAGGCUGGACUUCAACUCAUCACUCCUACAAAGCUAGGAACUUAGGGGAUGCUAGAUCAAAGAGCCAAGUCAACUAGCUCCUAGGAUAGAGAUAUCACCUUGGCAAAGAGUUCACACCUUGUCUAGGAGGGAUGGUUCCUUUCCA